rfam:Candidatus Roizmanbacteria bacterium RIFCSPHIGHO2_01_FTLL_39_24 rifcsphigho2_01_scaffold_6280, whole genome shotgun sequence.
AUGGAGUUUUUUGAUAACGUUAAUGGUGGAUGCCUUGGCAAUUUGAGCCGAAGAAGGACGUGUGUGUAAGCACGAUAUCGUCGAUGAGCCCGUAAGCAGGCAUUUUAAUCGGCGGUUUCCGAAUGGGACAACCCCUUUCUGUGUAAACAGAGAGAUCCCCCGCCUUUGGCGGGAGGAAGGCAACCCGGUGAACUGACACAUCUUAGUAACCGGAGGAAAAUAAAACAAAAAUAGUGAUUCCGUCAGUAGCGGCGAGCGAAAGCGGAGAAGUCUAAACCCUGAAGUAGAGCGCAAGCUCUCACUUCAGGGGGUUGCGGGACCUUGCAUACGGUUUGUUUUUGAUAGGAGAACACGGUGGAAAACGUGAUCAUAGAGAGUGAUAAUCUCGUAUCCGAAAUCGAAAACAAGCUCGCGAGGAUUCCCAAGUACCACGAGCCACGGAAAAUCUUGUGGGAAUCUGGGGCGGUCAUGCUCCAAGACUAAAUACUCAAAUUGACCGAUAGUGAACUAGUACCGUGAGGGAAAGGUGAAAAGUCCCCCUGUGAGGGGAGUGAAAUAGUACCUGAAACCAUUAACUAACAAACAGACAGAGUCCCGCCAUUGGCGGGAUAAUGUCGUGCCUAUUGAAGAAUGAGCCAGCGAGUUUUCAAUAUCUGCCGUAAUAGGUUAACCAAUUAAUUUGGGAAGCCGUAGCGAAAGCGAGUCUUAAUUAGGGCGUGAUCAUGCUUAAUUGCAUAAUCAGGUAGAUGUUGGAAGACCCGAAACUGGGUGAGCUAACCAUGGACAGGGUGAGUCCCGCCGAAAGGUGGGAGGAGGCCCGAACUCUUCGUCGGCGAAAUGACGUGAGAUGAUCUGUGGUUAGGGGCAAUAUGCCAAUCGAACCCAGAGAUAGCUGGUUCUCCCCGAAAUAUAUUUAGGUAUAGCCUCGUAUCAAUCUUUCCAGGGGUAGAGCUACUGGAUUUCCUCUCUAGGCCGUAAGGCCUGGUGGGGACAACCAAACUCCAAAUACUGUGGAAGUUAGGAUACGGGAGUCAGACCUGCUCGGAUAAGCGAGUGUGGUCAAAAGGGAAACAACCCAGAUUCCCAUCUAAGGUCUUUAAGUAAUUAUUAAGUGGUAAAGGUAGUUGAGUUUCAAAGACAGACGGGAGGUUGGCUCAGAAGCAGCCAUCCUUUAAAGAGUGCGUAACAGCUCACCGUAAUAUGCCGCCCUCGGGCGCGCAUGAGGCUUGGCGCCGAAAAUGAUUCGAGUCUCAAAUAAUUCACCGAAGAUGGAAACCGUCCCGCAUUGCGGGACGAGUGGUAGGGGAGCUUUCUUUUUGCAGUGAAGCCCAGGUGUAAACCGAGGUGGAGCGGAAAGAAGUGAGGAUGCUGGCAUGAGUAGCGAUUCUGUGGGUGAAAAUCCCGCAUGCCGAAUGUUCAAGGUUUCCUCAGCAACGUAAAUCGACUGAGGGUUAGUCGGAUCUAACCGCGGCGUCCGAUAUGGGCGACGGGGGAUGUACAAGACGUCAAUAUUCGUCUACUUUUUUAUAUGCGUUAUUACUUUGUAGAUGACGAGGUAUGAGCACCCAGGUUAUGCGCAAGCGUAGCUUAAAUAGUAAGUCCUAAUUCAUUUUAGGGCAAGCUAUGAUGAAUACGGUUUGUCUUUAGGGGCAAAUUGUAGCUGGAAUGUUUACAUCUCCGGGAAAAGACUACAUAAGGAGUGUAUAGAAAAUCCGUACCGUAAACCGACACAGGUGAACUGGUCGAGAAGACUAAGGCAAUCGAGUAAGGAUGGUUCAAGGAAUUCGGCAAACAAUCUGGACGUAACUUAGGGAGAUGUCCUGUCCCGCCUCAGGCGGGAUUACAACAAAAGAUUUUCAUCUAACUGUUUAUCUAAAACACAGGUCCCUGCAAACCCGUAAGGGGAAGUAUAGGGGCUGAGGCCUGUCCAGUGCUGGUAAGUUAAAAAUUGGGGUUGAAGUCGCCUUCGGGUGAUCAGGCUCUGAUUUAAGCUCCAGUGAACGACAGCGGUAACUCUGACCGUUCUAAGGUAGCGUAAUCCCUUGCCGGGUAAGUUCCGGCCCGCAUGAAAGGCUUAAUAAGAUGAAAACUGUCUUGAACCAUUGCUCGGCGAAAUUGAAAUGGCUGUGAAGAUGCGGCCUACCUGCACCUGGACAAAAAGACCCCGGGAGCUUUACUGAACCUUGGCAUAGAAGCGAGAAUUUUAAUUGUUUAGCGUAGGAGGGAGACUUCGGUCGUCAAUGAAACACCUCUCUUUGGAAUUUUCAAAUCUUAUUCCGCCUUAAGGCGGAAGACUGUGUCAGGCGGUCAGUUUAACUGGGGCGGUUUCCUCCAAAAGCGUAACGGAGGAGUGCAAAGGUCAACUUAUCCCGCAUAGAAAUCGGGAUGUACGUGUAAACGCAUAAGUUGGCUUAACUGUGAGGCAUACAAGCCGAGCAGAUUCGAAAGAAGGCGUUAGUGAUCCCCCGAUCAUUCAUGAUUGAUGACGGGGCUUAACGGAUAAAAGCUACCCCGGGGAUAACAGGCUAGUCUCCCCUAAGCGUUCAUAGCGACGGGGAGGUUCGGCACCUCGAUGUCGGCUCAUCGCAUCCUGGAGCUGUAGUAGGUUCCAAGGGUUGGUCUGUUCGCCCAUUAAAGCGGUACGCGAGCUGGGUUCAGAACGUCGUGAGACAGUUCGGACUCUAUCCGGUGCAGGCGGUUUGAUUCUUGAGGGGACCCCUUUCUAGUACGAGAGGACCGAAAGCGGGGGAAUCCCUGGUGUACCAGUUGUCGCAAAACGGCAUCGCUGGGUAGCUACAUUCCUAUUUGAUAAGUACUGAAAGCAUCUCAAGUACGAAGCAAACCCCAAGAUAAGGAAUCUUUAAAAUCCCCCGGGAGAUUACCGGGUCGAUAGGCGAUAGGUGUACGCGGCGUAAGCCGUUUAGCCAAGUCGUACUAAUGGAUACAAAAUUACAUAU